rnacentral:misc_RNA from 1 species
UUCCAUUUUUUAAGAAGAUCUUUUAUAUUAAAUUAAAUUUCCAUGCGUUGUUUUGUUAUAAAUAUUGGAUUUUAAUAUUAAGAAAAUUAAAAAUGUCGAUUAAUUCGUCAAGACCUUUUCAAUAAUUUCAAUGUACAAAGUUUAAGAAUAGACGAAUCAAUCUAGUGGCAGAGGAAUCAAAGUUUUAUGCAACUGAAUGCAUUGUGAUAGGAACAGCCGGAGACUUUGAAACUAAAUUCAAUCAGAAUUUUAAUUCACUACGGCCCGAAAUCUCUACUUUACCAUAAAAUAGAUUAAUUUAAUAAAUAAAUAUAUGUAAUG